GACGAACGCUGGCGGCGUGCCUAAUACAUGCAAGUCGAGCGAGCUUGCCUAGAUGAUUUUAGUGCUUGCACUAAAUGAAACUAGAUACAAGCGAGCGGCGGACGGGUGAGUAACACGUGGGUAACCUGCCCAAGAGACUGGGAUAACAGUUAGAAAUGACUGCUAAUACCGCAUGAGACCACAGCACCGCAUGGUGCAGGGGUAAAAACUCCGGUGGUAUGAGAUGGACCCGCGUCUGAUUAGGUAGUUGGUGGGGUAACGGCCUACCAAGCCGACGAUCAGUAGCCGACCUGAGAGGGUGACCGGCCACAUUGGGACUGAGACACGGCCCAA
rnacentral:rRNA from 1 species